GACGAACGCUGGCGGCGUGCCUAAUACAUGCAAGUCGAGCGAGUCUGCCUUGAUGAUCGGAGUGCUUGCACUCUGUGAAACAAGAUACAGGCUAGCGGCGGACGGGUGAGUAACACGUGGGUAACCUGCCCAAGAGAUCGGGAUAACACCUGGAAACAGAUGCUAAUACUGGAUAACAACAGAUGAUGUCUAUCCACUGUCUAAAAGAUGGUUCUGCUAUCACUCUUGGAUUGACCUGCGGUGCAUUAGCUAGUUGGUAGGGUAACGGCCUACCAAGGCGAUGAUGCAUAGCCGAGUUGAGAGACUGAUCGGCCACAUUGGGACUGAGACACGGCCCAAACUCCUACGGGAGGCAGCAGUAGGGAAUCUUCCACAAUGGACGCAAGUCUGAUGGAGCAACGCCGCGUGAGUGAAGAAGGGUUUCGGCUCGUAAAGCUCUGUUAUUGGUGAAGAAGGACAGGGGUAGUAACUGACCUUUGUUUGACGGUAAUCAAUUAGAAAGUCACGGCUAACUAAGUG
rnacentral:rRNA from 1 species